UACGUAGGGGGCAAGCGUUGUCCGGAUUCAUUGGGCGUAAAGAGCGUGUAGGCGGCCAGGUAGGUCGGUUGUGAAAACUGGAGGCUCAACCUUCAGAGGUCGACGCGAAACCAUCUGGCUAGAGUCCGGGAGAGGAGAGUGGAAUUCCUGGUGUAGCGGUGAAAUGCGCAGAUAUCAGGAAGAACACCCGUGGCGAAAGCGGCUCUCUGGAACGGUACUGACGCUGAGACGCGAAAGCGUGGGGAGCGAACAGG
rnacentral:rRNA from 1 species